GCUGCGGCUCCUAGAGCCCAAGGAAAUCUGCGGCCCGCUGGGGCGGGGUGGGGGCCACCAGCCUGGCAGCACUCCGGGACUCCGCCUCGCGCCCGGGCCCCCUCCCCAGCCAGCUGGAGCCCUGCGCCCGCCCUGCGCCUGCUCUGGGGACCGCCCGCUCCUCCUCUCCACUCCGCUGCUCGCUGCCUCCCUCGGCAGAGUUUGCCUCCACCUUCCUAUAAAGUUUUCUCCCGCCCACCUUCUCUGCUGCCUUCCCAAGUUGGACUCGCUUUUGGGGUGUCCCAAAAGCCCGAUUCCAGGGCCUGCUAGCCCGACCCAGGUGACGCUUCCACCAGCCCCCGGCACCAGCCUUCCCCUGCGCUCGCUCGCGGCUCUCCCGGGCACACCCUCCGGCAGAAAACAGCCGGCAGCCAGGGAGACUUUGGGCAGAGCCCUGGUUCCUCUCCCGCACCCCGGCCCCUCUCCCGGUCUCCCUGAGAGUGCGCAGCCUACAAGCACCAGUUUCUCUUUUGAACAAGGACAGGGAGGGAGUUGGGUGGGGGCUGAAACCUUUUGCCAUCAGCGAACAGCCCCAGCCAAAAAUAACCCUGGAAAGGCGAGCUGAGAAUGGUUAUCUCCUGCCAGCGCUGAAAUCGGAGUCUGGGCGCUGUGUGUGUGUGUCCGUGUGUGUGUGUGUGUGUGUGUGUGUGUCUGUGUCGCUGUGUGUGGGGUGUGUGUGUACCCUCCCACCGCGACCAUUUGUUGAAGGGAAUCACCACUGUCAACCUUCAAUUCAGCAAGACCCCUUGAGCCGUCCACAUUUUCCCCAGCCUCUUCCAAGGCAGCACACUUUCCGGCUGAAGGAAAGAAGAAUGGUAUUCAUGCGUUCCCAUUUUACAGAUGAAAACAAGAGGACUUUCUUUGUGAACUCGAGAAAGUGGUUAAGAUGGGACUUUCAGCCUGUCCAAAUUACAUAUUGCUCCUCCCCUUUUUAUUAAUAAUAUUGAAGUGUGAUGGGGAAACCCCUGAAGCCAUCAACUGAAACCUGCCAGGACUUUUCAGCCAUUCUCUUCAACAUAAAGAAUGGGGGUUCUUACAGGCAGCGAGAGGAAGGGGGAAAUGUGGUCAAAGAGUACAGUGUUUUAGUUGAGACAGGAAGAAUAUAUUUUGUUGAGAUCUACAGCACAGCAUGGUGACUGUAAUUGAAGUAUUGUAUAUUUCAAAAUUGCUAAGACAGUACAUUUCAAAUGUUCUCACCAUGAAAAAUGAUAGUUUUUUGAGGUGAUGGACGUAUUAAUUCUCCAGAUUUAAUUAUUCCACAAUGUAUGCAUGUAUUAUAACAUCACAUUAUACCCCAGAUACAUACAAUUUUAAUUUGUCAAUUAACAAUUUUUAAAAGAAUAGUGUGACAAGUUGGGGAAGUUUGUUUUUGGUUUUUAUUUACCCCUCUAGUCUCUACUCAGUCUUCAAGAGGCCAUUCUCUAUAAAGUUUCUGUCACCCAGCUAGAGUGCUGUGGCACAAUCAUGGCUCACUCUACCCUCUCCCUCCUGGGCUCAAGCGAUCCUCCCACCUCAGGCCCUCAAGUAUCUAGGACUACAGGUACACACCAUCACACCCAGUUAAUUUUCAUAGUUUUUGUUGGAAUGGAGCUUCACCAUGUUGCUCAGGCUGGUCUUGAACUUCUUAGCUCAAGCGAUCUACCAGCUUUGGCCUCCCAAAAUGCUGGGAUUACAGGUGUGAGCCACCAAGCCCAGUCCGUGAAGUUUCUAACCUUUUAUUGGUAUAUUUGAGAGUCUUGGCUUAGCACCCAACAGACAGAACCUUAGCACUUCUAGGGACCUUUGCAUAUCUAUACCCUGUGGGUUUUUAAGAUCUCUUUCUAAUGACAUUUUGUUUUGCAAAGAAGGACAGUUUCAUUCCCAGAAGAGCAGGUAUGGUAAGUCUUUUGUCCCAGUAAGGAAGACAGUGAUGCAACUCCUAAGGCUCAGAGAUGCCCAGAAGCCUCCAGGCCUCCAUCUCUCUGCUGCUAGCAUCUCCCUCUCUUUUGACGUCAACAUCAUUCUCUUCUCUCACAGCCCAGCUCCUUCCACAGACUCAGGGACUAGGCACUGGCAUCUCAGACUAGAUAUUAGAGAAUUACCAUUCAAGAGGAAAUCUUAUUCCCUGGUUCCAAUUUCAAGGUUCUCAAAAACUGUAACAGGUCUAGUUUGAGGCAAUGUAUCCCAUGAAAUAGCCAGAAAGAACCCCACAGUGAAAGGAAAACAAUUCUUCCAAAGUAAGAGAGGAGAGAUGGGCAACCAAGCAGUAACUGGGCCACCACAUACUUCACACUCACUGAUCAAGGCUUUCUAAAACUAUUUUUCUUUUCUCUGAAUUUAUAUAGUACUUUGUAUCACUCAUAAAGGAAAGUCUUAUAGGCUGAUAACACCUAUCUAUUCAUGCUUAUUCCUAACAUUUAAGUUAGGAUAAUUUUCUAACCUCAGUGUCCUCACUAUAAAAUGGGAAUUAUUAUAAUCCCUACCUCAUAAAUUAUUGGGAGGAUUAAAAUACUUAGUAAAGUGCCUAACAGAAAGGCAUUCAGUAAAUGUUAGCUAUUCAUAGUGUCAUCAUCAUUAUAUUUAGCAAUAGUACUAAUCUCCUGUAUUGCAAGAAUUACCGUUUAUAUUUUUGUAGACCAUCACUCUAGCUAAAGCAUCUUUGGGCAUAGGUGAUAUUCCAUAAAUGUUGCUUGAAUUGAUCUGUGGCUUUUGACUAUGGAAACUCAAAAUAUAUGGAGUAAGUUUAUCUUGAAAUGUACAAAAGAGGUUUGCCUGCUAAAUAAAUCUCUCCAAAGCUGGCCCCAAGUUUAACUGAAUUAAUUCCAAUGAAUUUGUCAUAAUGAUGAAGAAAGGAAACU
ensembl:lncRNA